rnacentral:tRNA from 1 species
GGGGUUGUAGCUCAGAUGGUAGAGCGCGCGCUUAGCAUGCGCGAGGUAGGGGGAUCGAUACCCCCCAACUCCA